UCAAUUUGGGCCCGCUAAAACACCAUCCUCUGCCUUAGCGCAAGCCGGAGCCGUCGACGAAGAAUGCUUUAUUACUUCGUUCGAGGACGUGCCUACCGUCAAUCUAUUCUCGACGAAGGAUCUUGAAGAAUAGAUGCAUGGAUCUUUCGUUCAAGAUCGUUCGUCGAGAAUAGAUUGACAAUAUCCUUACUAUGGGUGACGAUAAAAAGGACUGGAAACAAAGAAUGGAUAGCAUGAGAAAGUUAAGAGCCAUUGUACUCGCGAGUGGCACUAAUUACGAAAAAGAAUUAAAAUUUUCAUAAUUGAUGCCACCUGCGCGUGCGUGACAUACAGCGACCAUUCGAGCAGGCCUGCACCGACCUUACCGGACGCAAUCCAUUUCCGGACGCAAUCAAAAAGGGCAUCGCGGAUUCCGACGCGGAAGCGCGAGUCUUUGCCAGAAAAUAAGUAGUUCUUUGCAGACGGUUAAGUUGCAACGAUGCCUACCUAUUACCGUAAUUAUAUUUGACAAUUCAAUGCGUCUUUCGACGCUCUUGAAGAUGGAAAAAAAGGAAAAGUGUCAAGAAGCACGAUACUAUUUUUUGGAAAGCAGGCGUCAGUUUGUCUGUUUGUAUUGAGGUGUUAUCGUGAAAUAUUUUAUUUUAUUUGUAAAAGUCUCAUUUUUGUGUUUCAAACAUUAUUAUUAAAAUGUUAUUCUACUUUCAUACAGAAUACUGUUUUAUGUGUAUAACUGUAACUAUUACUUUACUGAUAUUAUGGAACACUCUUGUAUCGUCUUUAAAUGUUACCAUAAAUAAUAAAUAUCGCGGAAAAUCUAUAAUACAAGAUCAAAACCUGCCCGAAGAACGGAAUACCGUGCAGAAGCAAAUGCGCCGAUAGACAUUUCUCAAAUAAAAAUAUGGAAACGUUGGAUAUAAAGUUGACGGACGCGGAAUUUUAUAAAGUUUAUUCGAUCGAAAAUUUAUUUGUGAUAUCUCGACAGAAACCGGAUGCAACGUAUAUUAUAUUAAACGGCGGAAACACAGCCUAAGGCAAUUUGUCUUUCACAUGCACGAUAUAGGAACAAAUUGAUGUAAAAAGUAUAUAAUGUAUAUGGCAAUUUUGAGAUAACUCUUCUAGAUCUA